GAUGAACGCUGGCGGCGUGCCUAAAACAUGCAAGUCGAACGGUAACAGGUUAAGCUGACGAGUGGCGAACGGGUGAGUAAUAUAUCGGAACGUGCCCAGCCGUGGGGGAUAACGUAGCGAAAGCUACGCUAAUACCGCAUACGAUCUACGGAUGAAAGCGGGGGAUCGCAAGACCUCGCGCGACUGGAGCGGCCGAUAUCAGAUUAGCUAGUUGGUGGGGUAAAAGCUCACCAAGGCGACGAUCUGUAGCUGGUCUGAGAGGACGACCAGCCACACUGGAACUGAGACACGGUCCAGACUCCUACGGGAGGCAGCAGUGGGGAAUUUUGGACAAUGGGCGCAAGCCUGAUCCAGCAAUGCCGCGUGCAGGAUGAAGGCCUUCGGGUUGUAAACUGCUUUUGUACGGAACGAAACGGCGAGCUCUAAUACAGUUUGCUAAUGACGGUACCGUAAGAAUAAGCACCGGCUAACUACGUGCCAGCAGCCGCGGUAA
rnacentral:rRNA from 1 species